UACGUAGGGGGCAAGCGUUGUCCGGAUUCAUUGGGCGUAAAGAGCUCGUAGGCGGCUUGGCAAGUCGGGUGUGAAAACUCCAGGCUCAACCUGGAGACGCCACCCGAUACUGCCAUGGCUAGAGUCCGGUAGGGGACCACGGAAUUCCUGGUGUAGCGGUGAAAUGCGCAGAUAUCAGGAGGAACACCGGUGGCGAAGGCGGAUCUCUGGGCCUGUCCUGACGCUCAGGCGCGAAAGCUAGGGGAGCAAACAGG
rnacentral:rRNA from 1 species